CUACCCAGAAGAGUGGCUCAAGUUCACAUUCAGAAUUUAUUUGUUGAAAGAGUAUCUCCACUUUAUCACAAUCGAGCACUUCCAAUUCUUUCAGAAGUGGCCAGCUUGAACUAAACCUUCUAGAGCAAAAUCUUUUGAGUUGGUGUAAACCGGAGAGUGUGAGAGAGGUAAGGUUAGGGAAUGAGAGUAAAGGUGCUGCUUCAUCUUCAUUUUCAUUGGCAACAAUUGCCUCCACUCCACUCUCCGAUAUAUAAAGGUCCUCAAGUUGCACAAGAGCACUCGCCACAGAAACCGGAAAAAGGUUUAGCAAUUUGUUGCAUCCCCUUCCUUGCAAUUUCCUUAAUUUGGAAAAUGAAUUUGCUGGAAGUUGGUCAGGCCACAAUGCUCUUAUAUUAUCUAGUCCACGUACAGACAAGGACUCCAAGCCUGGGAGUGCAACCUGUGCAAUUGAUGAUCCCUUUAGUUAAUAAUAUAUACAUAUACAUUCCUAAUAAUUAGACACAUGUAAAUAGAAAAUAAGAGGUUAAAGGAGAAUAUAUCAGUAUAACAAAGCACAAAAUUUAAACUAGAUUCAAGAAGAUCAAGAAAGAGAAAAGAAAAGAAAAAGCCUCCAGAUUUUGAAGAUACAAUGAAACUUAAAAAAAAAAAAAAAAAAACUUCCAAAUUUUCCUUUCGAAAUGAGGUAAUAAGAGGAUUUUUUUUUUCUUUUUUCUUUGCCUCUCUUUCAAAUUUGAUUAACUUCUAUGGAAAACGUAUUUUAACUAGUUAUGGAAAACCGAUUUUUUUUUUUUUAACUUUUAUAUAAGAUACAAGUAAUACUUUAAAAAAAUUGUGAUAUCUAAAUAAUUUUUUGAAAAAUUAUUUUUAAAGAAAUAAGGUAAAUCUAUACUUUUUGUACAAGAUGUUCUACCUUUAUAUACAAAUUUCUGAUUUUUUUUUUAAAAGUGUAUCCAAAUGGACACUAAACUAUCUAGUUUUUAAUUGUUACAACUUUGAAUUGGAUUUUAUGGUAAACUAAUUUACAAGUUAAUGCAUGGAUUCAUCUUAGAUUCCAUCUAUAAAUUUUUUUAAUUAUCUAAUAUAAGACAUUAUAUUAAUGAGUUGAAUUAAUAAUGUAAUUAUAAUUUAUUUGGCAACUUUCUUCCUUCAAAUAUAUAAAAUGAAAAUAAAGUUUAAAAAAUAAAAAAAAUGAAAAAAAUAAAAAAUAAAAAAUGAUUUUUUUUAUAGUUUUUCUAAGAUGAUUUUGUAGAGUACUGUUAGUUUAUAGUUUUAACUUUAUUUCAUUUUACUUUUAACUUUAUUUAUUGAGGUAUGUUCUUUUUUGAAACUCUUGUUUAGAUUUUAUAGAGAAUAUAAAUUUUAAGAAAAAAAAUGAAAUUUAAAUAAAAUAAGAAUAAAGAAAGGCAAAAGGUGGAUGAAUUUUUUUAAGGCAAAAGUUUGAUAACUUGGCACUAUCAUGUAAUGGGUGAAAUUUUUAAAUACUCAACAAAGGCUAGUGAAAUUUAAAUUAAAAGCUUGACAUGUACCUUUUCGACCAAAAUCUUUGGAGUUGGUGUAAAGUUUUGAGUAUGAGAGAGGUUAGUCUAGGGAAUAUUAUUGCACAUUAGUUCAAAUAAAACAUCAACAUUUUUUUUUUGUUAAAUUCUAAAUGAACACCGCUAUAAAUUAAUGCGAUUUUGUAUGCUCAAUUAAAUAAACUUGUUCUUAAGGCAUCACAUGAAGUGUUUAAGUCUAAUUAAUAUUAAUUAAAAAUGAUUAUAUUAAAAAAAAUCCAAAGUAAUUUAUUUUUAUCAUAAGUCAAGUAGGAUAGUUUUAUAAAUAAUUGGUUCUAGUUUCUAGUACUAUUGUACACAAUCGCUAUGUUUGUUGCACCUCCAAAAAAUCUACUACUUGUAAUUAAUUGUAUAUUAUUCUCCAUAUUCACAUCAGUUUAUGUAGUAUGAUUAAUUUAGCAACAAAAUAUAAGUUUACUUGAAAUCGCUUUAAAUUCCUAUGAUAUUAAAGUUUAAGAUUAAAACAAUGUAACAUUAGCCAAAAAGAUUAAGAUCUAUAAUGUAACAUAUAAUAUUUAGAAAAUUCAAGGAAGGGUAAACUCGCACCUGUUCUACCCAGAAGAGUGGCUCAAGUUCACAUUCAUAAUUUAUUUGUUGAAAGAGUAUCUCCACUUUAUCACAAUCGAGCACUUCCAAUUCUUUCAGAAGUGGCCAGCUUGAACUAAACCUUCUAGAGAAAAAUCUUUUGAGUUGGUGUAAACCGGAGAGUGUAAGAGAGGUAAGGUUAGGGAAUAAGAGUAAAAGUGCUGCUUCAUCUUCAUUUUCAUUGGCAACAAUUGCCUCCACUCCACUUUCCGAUAUAUAUAGGUCCUCAAGUUGCACAAGAGCACUCGCCACAGAAACCGGAAAAAGGUUUAGCAAUUUGUUGCAUCCCCUUACUUGCAAUUUCCUUAAUUUGGAAAAUGAAUUUGCUGGAAGUUGGUCAGACCACAAUGCUCUUAUAUUAUCUAGUCCGCGUACAGACAAGGACUCCAAACCUGGGAGUGCAACCUGUGCAAUUGAUGAUCCCUUUAGUUAAUAAUAUAUACAUAUACAUUCCUAAUAAUUAGACACAUGUAAAUAGAAAAUAAGAGGUUAAAGGAGAAUAUAUCAGUAUAACAAAGCACAAAAUUUAAACUAGAUUCAAGAAGAUCAAGAAAGAGAAAAGAAAAGAAAAAGCCUCCAGAUUUUGAAGAUACAAUGAAACUUAACAAAAAAAAAAAAAAACCACCAAAUUUUCCUUUCGAAAUGAGGUAAUAAGAGGAUUUUUUUUUUUUCUUUUUUCUUUGCCUCUCUUUCAAAUUUGAUUAACUUCUAUGGAAAACGUAUUUUAACUAGUUAUGGAAAACAUAUUUUUUUUUUAAAAAACUUUUCUAUAAGAUACAAGUAAUACUUUAAAAAAAUUGUGAUAUCUAAAAAAUUUUUUGAAAAAUUAUUUUUAAAGAAAUAAGGUAAAUCUAUACUUUUUGUAUAAGAUGUUCUACCUUUAUAUACAAAUUUCUGAUUUUUUUUUUAAAAGUGUAUCCAAAUGGACACUAAACUAUCUAGUUUUUAAUUGUUACAACUUUGAAUUGGAUUUUAUGGUAAACUAAUUUACAAGUUAAUGCAUGGAUUCAUCUUAGAUUCCAUCUAUAAAUUUUUUUAAUUAUCUAAUAUAAGACAUUAUAUUAAUGGGUUGAAUUAAUAAUGUAAUUAUAAUUUAUUUGGCAAGUUUCUUCCUUCAAAUAUAUAAAAUGAAAAUAAAUUUUAAAAAAUAAAAAAAAUGAAAAAAAUAAAAAAUAAAAAAAGAUUUUUUUUAUAGUUUUUCUAAGAUGAUUUUGUAGAGUACUGUUAGUUUAUAGUUUUAACUUUAUUUCAUUUUACUUUUAACUUUAUUUAUUGAGGUAUGUUCUUUUUUGAAACUCUUGUUUAGAUUUUAUAGAGGAUAUAAAUUUUCAGAAAAAAAAAAUUAAAUUUAAAUAAAAUAGGAAUAAAGAAAGGCAAAAGGUGGAUGAAUUUUUUUAAGGCAAAAGUUUGAUAACUUGGCACUAUCAUGUAAUGGGUGAAAUUUUUAAAUACUCAACAAAGGCUAGUGAAAUUUAAAUUAAAAGCUUGACAUGUACCUUUUCGACCAAAAUCUUUGGAGUUGGUGUAAAGUUUUGAGUAUGAGAGAGGUUAGUCUAGGGAAUAUUAUUGCACAUUAGUUCAAAUAAAACAUCAACAUUUUUUUUUUUGUUAAAUUCUAAAUGAACACCACUAUAAAUUAAUGCGAUUUGUAUGCUCAAUUAAAUAAACUCGUUCUUAAGGCAUCACAUGAAGUGUUUAAGUCUAAUUAAUAUUAAUUAAAAAUGAUUAUUUUAAAAAAAUCCAAAGUAAUUUAUUUUUAUCAUAAGUCAAGUAGGAUAGUUUUAUAAAUAAUUGGUUCUAGUUUCUAGUAUUAUUGUACACAAUCGCUAUGUUUGUUGCACCUCCAAAAAAUCUACUACUUGUAAUUAAUUGUAUAUUAUUCUCCAUAUUCACAUCAGUUUAUGUAGUAUGAUUAAUUUAGCAACAAAAUAUAAGUUUACUUGAAAUCGCUUUAAAUUCCUAUGAUAUUAAAGUUUAAGAUUAAAACAAUGUAACAUUAGCCAAAAAGACUAAGAUCUAUAAUGUAACAUAUAAAAUUUAGAAAAUUCAAGGAAGGGUAAACUCGCACCUGUUCUACCCAGAAGAGUGGCUCAAGUUCACAUUCAGAAUUUAUUUGUUGAAAGAGUAUCUCCACUUUAUCACAAUCGAGCACUUCCAAUUCUUUCAGAAGUGGCCAGCUUGAACUAAACCUUCUAGAGCAAAAUCUUUUGAGUUGGUGUAAACCGGAGAGUGUGAGAGAGGUAAGGUUAGGGAAUGAGAGUAAAGGUGCUGCUUCAUCUUCAUUUUCAUUGGCAACAAUUGCCUCCACUCCACUCUCCGAUAUAUAAAGGUCCUCAAGUUGCACAAGAGCACUCGCCACAGAAACCGGAAAAAGGUUUAGCAAUUUGUUGCAUCCCCUUACUUGCAAUUUCCUUAAUUUGGAAAAUGAAUUUGCUGGAAGUUGGUCAGGCCACAAUGCUCUUAUAUUAUCUAGUCCGCGUACAGACAAGGACUCCAAACCUGGGAGUGCAACCUGUGCAAUUGAUGAUCCCUUUAGUUAAUAAUAUAUACAUAUACAUUCCUAAUAAUUAGACACAUGUAAAUAGAAAAUAAGAGGUUAAAGGAGAAUAUAUCAGUAUAACAAAGCACAAAAUUUAAACUCUAUUCAAGAAGAUCCAGAAAGAGAAAAGAAAACGCCUUUUGAUUUUGAAGAUCCAAUGAAACUUUAAAAAAAAAAAAAAAAACCUCCAAAUUUUGCUUUCCAAAUGAGGUAAUAGGAGGAUAUUUUUAUUUUAUUUUUUCUUUGCCUCUCUUUCAAAUUUGAUUAACUUCCAUGGAAAACGUAUUUUAACUAGCCAUGGAAAAUGGAUUUUUUUUUUAAAACUUUUAUAUAAGAUACAAGAACUCUUAGAGGGUUACAUUAUGUAAGUAAUACUUUAAAAAAAAUGUUUAAAAAUAUUGUGAUAUCCAAAAAUUUUACUACCUCGGAUUUUAAAUUUUAAAAAAAUUAUUUUUAAAGAAAUAAGGUAAAUCUAUACUUUUUCGUAUAAGAUAUUCUACCUUUAUAUACAAAUUUCUGAUUUUUUUUUUAAAGUGUAUCCAAAUGGACACUAAACUAUCUAGUUUCGAAUUUUUACAACUUUGAAUUGGAUUUUAUGGUAAACUAAUUGACAAUAUAACGCAUGGAUUCAUCUUAGAUUCCAUCUAUAAAUUUUUUAAUUAUCUAAUAUAAGACAUUAUAUUAAUGGGUUGAAUUAAUAAUGUAAUUAUAAUUUAUUUGGCAACUUUCUUCCUUCAAAUAUAUAAGACGAAAAUAUAUUUUAAAAAAUAAAAAAGAAUGAUAAAAAAUAGAAAAUAAAAAUAGCUUAUUUUAUUGUUUUUCUAAGAUGAUUUUGUAGAGUGUUAGUUUAUAGUUUAACUUUAUUUCAUUUUACUUUUAACAUUAUUUAUUGAGGUAUGUUCUUUUUUGAAACUCUUGUUUAGAUUUUAUAGAGAAUAUAAAUUUUAAGAAAAAAAAUGAAAUUUAAAUAAAAUAAGAAUAAAGAAAGGCAAAAGGUGGAUGAAUUUUUUGAAGGCAAAAGUUUGAUAAUUUGGCACUGUCAUGUAAUGGGUGAAAUUUUUAAAUACUCAACAAAGGCUAGUGAAAUUUAAAUUAAAACCUUGACAUGUACCUUUUCGACCAAAAUCUUUGGAGUUGGUGUAAAGUUUUGAGUAUGAGAGAGGUUAGUCUAGGGAAUAUUAUUGCACAUUAGUUCAAAUAAAACAUCAACAUUUUUUUUUGUUAAAUUCUAAAUGAACACCACUAUAAAUUAAUGCGAUUUUGUAUGCUCAAUUAAAUAAACUCGUUCUUAAGGCAUCACAUGAAGUGUUUAAGUCUAAUUAAUAUUAAUUAAAAAUGAUUAUAUCAAAAAAAAUCCAAAGUAAUUUUUUUUUAUCAUAAGUCAAGUAGGAUAGUUUUAUAAAUAAUUGGUUCUAGUUUCUAGUAUUAUUGUACACAAUCGCUAUGUUUGUUGCACCUCCAAAAAAUCUACUACUUGUAAUUAAUUGUAUAUUAUUCUCCAUAUUCACAUCAGUUUAUGUAGUAUGAUUAAUUUAGCAACAAAAUAUAAGUUUACUUGAAAUCGCUUUAAAUUCCUAUGAUAUUAAAGUUUAAGAUUAAAACAAUGUAACAUUAGCCAAAAAGACUAAGAUCUAUAAUGUAACAAAUAAAAUUUAGAAAAUUCAAGGCAGGGUAAACUCGCACCUGUUCUACCCAGAAGAGUGGCUCAAGUUCACAUUCAGAAUUUAUUUGUUGAAAGAGUAUCUCCACUUUAUCACAAUCGAGCACUUCCAAUUCUUUCAGAAGUAGCCAGCUUGAACUAAACCUUCUAGAGCAAAAUCUUUUGAGUUGGUGUAAACCGGAGAGUGUGAGAGAGGUAAGGUUAGGGAAUAAGAGUAAAGGUGCUGCUUCAUCUUCAUUUUCAUUGGCAACAAUUGCCUCCACUCCACUCUCCGAUAUAUAUAGGUCCUCAAGUUGCACAAGAGCACUCGCCACAGAAACCCGAAAAAGGUUUAGCAAUUUGUUGAAUCCCCUUACAUGCAAUUUCCUUAAUUUGGAAAAUGAAUUUGUUGGAAGUUGGUCAGGCCACAAUGCUCUUAUAUUAUCCAGUCCGCAUACAUACAAGGACUCCAAGCCUUGGAGUGCAACCUGUGCAAUUGAUAAUCCCUUUGGUUAAUAAUAUAUACAUAUACAUUCCUAAUGAUUAGACACAUGUAAAUAGAAAAUAAGAGGUUAAAGGAGAAUAUAUCAGUAUAACAAAGCACAAAAUUUAAACUAGAUUAAAGAAGAUCAAGAAAGAGAAAAGAAAAGAAAAAGCCUCCAGAUUUUGAAGAUACAAUGAAACUUAAAAAAAAAAAAAAAAAACCUCCAAAUUUUCCUUUCGAAAUGAGGUAAUAAGAGGAUUUUUUUUUUCUUUUUUCUUUGCCUCUCUUUCAAAUUUGAUUAACUUCUAUGGAAAACGUAUUUUAACUAGUUAUGGAAAACGGAUUUUUUUUUUUAAAAACUUUUAUAUAAGAUACAAGUAAUACUUUAAAAAAAUUGUGAUAUCUAAAAAAUUUUUUGAAAAAUUAUUUUUAAAGAAAUAAGGUAAAUCUAUACUUUUUGUAUAAGAUGUUCUACCUUUGUAUUCAAAUUUCUGAUUUUUUUUUUUUAAAGUGUAUCCAAAUGCACACUAAACUAUCUAGUUUUUAAUUGUUACAACUUUGAAUUGGAUUUUAUGGUAAACUAAUUUACAAGUUAAUGCAUAGAUUCAUCUUAGAUUCCAUCUAUAAAUUUUUUUAAUUAUCUAAUAUAAGACAGUAUAUUAAUGGGUUGAAUUAAUAAUGUAAUUAUAAUUUAUUUGGCAACUUUCUUCCUUCAAAUAUAUAAAAUGAAAAUAAAUUUUAAAAAAUAAAAAAUAAAAAAAAGAUUUUUUUUAUAGUUUUUCUAAGAUGAUUUUGUAGAGUUCUGUUAGUUUAUAGUUUUCACUUUAUUUAUUGAGGUAUGUUCUUUUUUGAAACUCUUGUUUAGAUUUUAUUGAGAAUAUAAAUUUUAAGAAAAAAAAUAAAAUUUAAAUAAAAUAAGAAUAAAGAAAGGCAAAAGCUGGAUGAAUUUUUUUAAGGCAAAAGUUUGAUAAUUUGGCACUCUCAUGUAAUGGGUGAAAUUUUUAAAUACUCAACAAAGGCUAGUGAAAUUUAAAUUAAAACCAUGACAUGUACCUUUUAGACCAAAAUCUUUGGAGUUGGUGUAAUGUUUUGAGUAUGAGAGAGGUUAGUCUAGGGAAUAUUAUUGCACAUUAGUUCAAAUAAAACAUCAACAUUUUUUUUUGUUAAAUUCUAAAUGAACACCACUAUAAAUUAAUGCGAUUUUGUAUGCUCAAUUAAAUAAACUCGUUCUUAAGGCAUCACAUGAAGUGUUUAAGUCUAAUUAAUAUUAAUUAAAAAUGAUUAUAGUAAAAAAAAUCCAAAGUAAUUUUUUUUUAUCAUAAGUCAAGUAGGAUAGUUUUAUAAAUAAUUGGUUCUAGUUUCUAGUAUUAUUGUAGACAAUCGCUAUGUUUGUUGCACCUCCAAAAAAUCUACUACUUGUAAUUAAUUGUAUAUUAUUCUCCAUAUUCACAUCAGUUUAUGUAGUAUGAUUAAUUUAGCAACAAAAUAUAAGUUUACUUGAAAUGGCUUUAAAUUCCUAUGAUAUUAAAGUUUAAGAUUAAAACAAUGUAACAUUAGCAAAAAAGAUUAAGAUCUAUAAUGUAACAAAUAAAAUUUAGAAAAUUCAAGGCAGGGUAAACUCGCACCUGUUCUACCCAGAAGAGUGGCUCAAGUUCACAUUCAGAAUUUAUUUGUUGAAAGAGUAUCUCCACUUUAUCACAAUCGAGCACUUCCAAUUCUUUCAGAAGUAGCCAGCUUGAACUAAACCUUCUAGAGCAAAAUCUUUUGAGUUGGUGUAAACCGGAGAGUGUGAGAGAGGUAAGGUUAGGGAAUAAGAGUAAAGGUGCUGCUUCAUCUUCAUUUUCAUUGGCAACAAUUGCCUCCACUCCACUCUCUGAUAUAUAUAGGUCCUCAAGUUGCACAAGAGCACUCGCCACAGAAACCCGAAAAAGGUUUAGCAAUUUGUUGAAUCCCCUUACAUGCAAUUUCCUUAAUUUGGAAAAUGAAUUUGUUGGAAGUUGGUCAGGCCACAAUGCUCUUAUAUUAUCCAGUCCGCAUACAUACAAGGACUCCAAGCCUGGGAGUGCAACCUGUGCAAUUGAUAAUCCCUUUGGUUAAUAAUAUAUACAUAUACAUUCCUAAUAAUUAGACACAUGUAAAUAGAAAAUAAGAGGUUAAAGG
rnacentral:lncRNA from 1 species